AAAGGAAAAGGGGUUGGGUGGGAAAUGCAGAUGAGGGAAUGGGGUUAAUUGUUUUUUCAUUUUGCGUGUUUCACAGGGCUCUCAGUGAGUCAGUGUAUUGACUAGGUCUUUGUGAAUUGUGGAUCCAGGGACACAUUGGGGGGUGGGGAGGAAGAAACAAGAUGUGGUUAACUGACGUGUUCCAUUGAAGACUGAAUUAUUAUUGAGGGUAGGGUU